rnacentral:rRNA from 1 species
AUUGAACGCUGGCGGCAUGCCUUACACAUGCAAGUCGAACGGUAACAGGUUAAGCUGACGAGUGGCGAACGGGUGAGUGAUAUAUCGGAACGUGCCCAGUCGUGGGGGAUAACUGCUCGAAAGAGCAGCUAAUACCGCAUACGACCUGAGGGUGAAAGCGGGGGAUCGCAGGACCUCGCGCGAUUGGAGCGGCCGAUAUCAGAUUAGGUAGUUGGUGGGGUAAAGGCCCACCAAGCCAACGAUCUGUAGCUGGUCUGCGAGGACGACCAGCCACACUGGGACUGAGACACGGCCCAGACUCCUACGGGAGGCAGCAGUGGGGAAUUUUGGACAAUGGGCGCAAGCCUGAUCCAGCCAUGCCGCGUGCGGGAAGAAGGCCUUCGGGUUGUAAACCGCUUUUGUCAGGGAAGAAAAGGUUCUGGUUAAUACCUGGGACUCAUGACGGUACCUGAAGAAUAAGCACCGGCUAACUACGUGCCAGCCGCCGCGGUAA